UAUAGUUUGUUUUCAACAAUUACAUGUGCUUGACGAGUCAUUUGUGUAGUUUGUCUAUUUUUCCCAUUUCUUGAGCCAUAACAAAUUUUUUAAUAAAGAAAACAACUUUUAUUUUGAAAAUUUGGGUUGUUGGACAAGUUUAGGAUCAUUCGUUGCAUAGACUUGGGAAAACUUUUGAAAAAUAGAUAUCGUCUUAACACUGUAAGUUUCUUGACUAUAAGGACUUAUCCAGAUACUUAUUAUGUUUU
rnacentral:lncRNA from 1 species